AAUAUGUGUAUCAUAUUAGAAAAAUUACUUUAGAGUUACAAUGCAUGCCAUUUUGUGUUUUACACUACAGCAUCUAUUCUGACAGCAAGAAGCAGCACAUUUGCUGCUGAGAGACAGACUCAACAUGUAGAUCCAGAUACAUUUCAAAGUGAAAGUGGGACGGCGUGGCGCGGUUGGGAGAGUGUCUGUGCCAGCAACCUGAGGGUUCCUGGUUCAAUCCCCACCUUCUACCAUCCUAGUCACGUCCGUUGUGUCCUUGAGCAAGACAUUUCACCCUUGCUCCUGAUUGGUCCUGGUUAGCGCCUUGCAUGGCAGCUUUUGCCAUCAGUGUGUGAAUGGGUGAAUGUGGAAAUAGUGUCAAAGCGCUUUGAGUUCCUUAAAAAAGGAUAAUGAAGCAUCAGACUCAAUGUCACAUUUCAACAACCUGAAGACACCUCAGCUUCAACAAAUACUUGUGAAUCUAUCAAAGCUGCCCCUAUUAAUCCUGCUAAAUGGCCACACCAUUUGACUGACACACUAAGAAUUAAAUUACUUAGUCGAGGACCUUAUGAGGUGAACUCAGACAUCACAUUCCCGAAAAGAUAUGAUGGAAAACGUUUCCAUCACCACUACUUUUACAGACAUUUAGUAAAUAGAGAGAAAAUUAAGAGAACAUAGCUGAUGUAUUCCCCAAUUUUACCCUCAUGCCAUCUGCACUACAUUAACAUUUUUUUCUUUUUUUUAUUCUCAGGGAAAUUACUUAAAUGGUUUAUAUUUUUUUUGUAAUUGCAUUUUUUUGUUUUGACAUGUCAAAUAAAUCAUUG